rnacentral:rRNA from 1 species
GAUGAACGCUGGCGGCGUGCCUAACACAUGCAAGUCGAACGUGAAGGUUGGGAUGAGGACUUCGGUUCGAAUCUUGGCUGGAAAGUGGCGAACGGGUGAGUAACACGUAGGUAAUCUGCCUCGAAGUGGGGGAUAACCAUUGGAAACGAUGGCUAAUACCGCAUAGUUCUGUCGAUAUGGGAAUAUUGGCAGGUAAAGCUCUGGCGCUUCGAGAGGAGCCUGCGUCCGAUUAGUUAGUUGGUGGGGUAAAGGCCCACCAAGGCGACGAUCGGUAGCUGGUCUGAGAGGACGACCAGCCACACGGGGACUGAGACACGGCCCCGACUCCUACGGGGGGCAGCAGUGAGGAAUAUUGCACAAUGGGGGCAACCCUGAUGCAGCAACGCCGCGUGGAGGAUGAAGGCCUUUGGGUCGUAAACUCCUUUUUUGGGGGAAGAGGAAGGACGGUACCCCAAGAAUAAGUCACGGCUAACUACGUG